GACGAACUUUGGCGGCGUGCUUAACACAUGCAAGUCGAACGGAAAGGCCCUGCUUUUGUGGGGUGCUCGAGUGGCGAACGGGUGAGUAACACGUGAGUAACCUGCCCUUGACUUUGGGAUAACUUCAGGAAACUGGGGCUAAUACCGGAUAGGAGCUCCUGCUGCAUGGUGGGGGUUGGAAAGUUUCGGCGGUUGGGGAUGGACUCGCGGCUUAUCAGCUUGUUGGUGGGGUAGUGGCUUACCAAGGCUUUGACGGGUAGCCGGCCUGAGAGGGUGACCGGCCACAUUGGGACUGAGAUACGGCCCAGACUCCUACGGGAGGCAGCAGUGGGGAAUAUUGCACAAUGGGCGGAAGCCUGAUGCAGCAACGCCGCGUGCGGGAUGACGGCCUUCGGGUUGUAAACCGCUUUCGCCUGUGACGAAGCGUGAGUGACGGUAAUGGGUAAAGAAGCACCGGCUAACUACGUGCCAGCAGCCGCGGUGAUACGUAGGGUGCGAGCGUUGUCCGGAUUUAUUGGGCGUAAAGGGCUCGUAGGUGGUUGAUCGCGUCGGAAGUGUAAUCUUGGGGCUUAACCCUGAGCGUGCUUUCGAUACGGGUUGACUUGAGGAAGGUUUGGGAGAAUGGAAUUCCUGGUGGAGCGGUGGAAUGCGCAGAUAUCAGGAGGAACACCAGUGGCGAAGGCGGUUCUCUGGGCCUUUCCUGACGCUGAGGAGCGAAAGCGUGGGGAGCGAACAGGCUUAGAUACCCUGGUAGUCCACGCUGUAAACGGUGGGUACUAGGUGUGGGGUCCAUUCCACGGGUUCCGUGCCGUAGCUAACGCUUUAAGUACCCCGCCUGGGGAGUACGGCCGCAAGGCUAAAACUCAAAGGAAUUGACGGGGCCCCGCACAAGCGGCGGAGCAUGCGGAUUAAUUCGAUGCAACGCGUAGAACCUUACCUGGGUUUGACAUGGAUCGGGAGUGCUCAGAGAUGGGUGUGCCUCUUUUGGGGUCGGUUCACAGGUGGUGCAUGCCUGUCGUCAGCUCGUGUCGUGAGAUGUUGGGUUAAGUCCCGCAACGAGCGCAACCCUUGUUCACUGUUGCCAGCACGUUAUGGUGGGGACUCAGUGGAGACCGCCGGGGUCAACUCGGAGGAAGGUGGGGAUGACGUCAAGUCCUCAUGCCCCUUAUGUCCAGGGCUUCACGCAUGCUACAAUGGCUGGUACAGAGAGUGGCGAGCCUGUGAGGGUGAGCGAAUCUCGGAAAGCCGGUCUCAGUUCGGAUUGGGGUCUGCAACUCGACCUCAUGAAGUCGGAGUCGCUAGUAAUCGCAGAUCAGCAACGCUGCGGUGAAUACGUUCCCGGGGCU
rnacentral:rRNA from 1 species